rnacentral:rRNA from 1 species
UACGGGGGGAGCAAGCGUUGUUCGGAUUUACUGGGCGUAAAGGGCGCGUAGGCGGCCAGCACAAGUCAGUUGUGAAAUCUCCGGGCUUAACUCGGAAAGGUCAACUGAUACUGUGCGGCUAGAGUGCGGAAGGGGCAACUGGAAUUCUCGGUGUAGCGGUGAAAUGCGUAGAUAUCGAGAGGAACACCUGCGGCGAAGGCGGGUUGCUGGGCCGACACUGACGCUGAGGCGCGAAGGCCAGGGGAGCAAACGGG